GACGAACGCUGGCGGCGUGCUUAACACAUGCAAGUCGAACGGAAAGGCCCUGCUUUUGUGGGGUGCUCGAGUGGCGAACGGGUGAGUAACACGUGAGUAACCUGCCCUUGACUUUGGGAUAACUUCAGGAAACUGGGGCUAAUACCGGAUAGGAGCCCCUGCUGCAUGGUGGGGGUUGGAAAGUUUCGGCGGUUGGGGAUGGACUCGCGGCUUAUCAGCUUGUUGGUGGGGUAGUGGCUUACCAAGGCUUUGACGGGUAGCCGGCCUGAGAGGGUGACCGGCCACAUUGGGACUGAGAUACGGCCCAGACUCCUACGGGAGGCAGCAGUGGGGAAUAUUGCACAAUGGGCGGAAGCCUGAUGCAUCAACGCCGCGUGCGGGAUGACGGCCUUCGGGUUGUAAACCGCUUUCGCCUGUGACGAAGCGUGAGUGACGGUAAUGGGUAAAGAAGCACCGGCUAACUACGUG
rnacentral:rRNA from 1 species